UAACUGCCGCGGUGGCGGCACCAUCUACCGAAAGCGAAUCAAAACAAAAACACGGUCUGCUACGGGUAUUCGAAAGGUCGUUCGGAAGGGCUCUCUGUUCGGUCAGUAAAAAAGCCCUUUACUGAACCAGCCUGGCAUAUUGCAAGGGUGUGUUGAAGAGCCAGGUUAUAACGCUAUUUGUUUUGAAUAGGAACUGGGUUGUAUUGGAAAGUCAGUGGAUUUUUUUGAUUAAUCAAAGCCCAGCACGAGCCAUAUGGCCACUAUGUCGUUUAUCGUUAAACGGCACGGAUCGCUCCGGUAUCUAAAACGGGUUUUGCCGGCAUUCAACAGUGGAGCCUCCGGACUUCGCACCCCCAGCGGACUAAACCGAUUAAAUCCUUGGCGAGCGCUAAGCUCCAUGCCUCAACCUCAGCCGGAGUCAGAAAGUCAACUGUAUGAUAAUGAUUCUAAUGAGCCAUCAGUAGUCUAUAUCGCUCGGAAACGGACUCUCAUAACGGAGCAGGAACAUGCUAGACACAAAAAGAGAGAAAAUGUUCUAGAAUUAUCUGCUAGAGAUAAUGGACAGGCGAACCCUAACGAGCAGUACUUUAUCAGGACACAUGAGUUCAAACCCGCCGCUCAACAUUUAUUGUCUCUGAGCAAAAUCAAACUUACAGGUCUGGUGGUUAUGACAACGAUGGCUGGAUAUGCAAUGGCGCCAGCGGCUUUUAGUGGUUCUACACUGUUCUAUGCAGCGCUCGGAACCGCGUUAAUGUCGGGAUCAGCAAACGCGAUUAAUCAAUUCCUUGAAAUCCCGUAUGACUCGCAAAUGAAUCGAACCAAAAAUCGCGUCCUCGUCCGAGGUUAUAUGAGUCCCCUAGGCGCCGUGACCUUUGCAGUUGUAUCGGGUUGCGCCGGAAUUACCACCCUCUACCUAGGGUGCGGCGCAUGGACCGCAGGCCUUGGCGCCCUUAACCUGUUUCUAUACACGUCAAUGUACACACCACUCAAGCGAAGGCAUAUUGUCAACACGUGGGUGGGAAGUGUUGUUGGAGCAAUCCCUCCGGUAAUGGGAUGGACAGCUGCUACAGGGACGCUGGAUGCAGGUUUUUCUAAGCUUAGUGCAGUAUUAGGCUUAUCGUGCAGUUGUCCGUUGUGCUACCGACGGUUGCUUCUAUCUAUGCCUGGCAAAUGUUGUCCUGCACGGGUUAUCGUCAGUUUAGGAGCGUAUCGAGGAAAAACUCAACAAAGUCAGCACCGGCGGUGGUUACGGCCAGCCUCCUAUGGUAGCCAGCUAUACGCUAACAGAAACAGUAUAGCUCGAUCCUCGGCACUAUUACUACCAGAACAAUAACUGCAACAUUAUAUUUGUACAACUUUUACUGCGGUGACAGUUUAUUACGUAAGCAGUCUCCGCUGGUGAUCGGUGACGACUGCUAUGCGUGACGAAGCAUUAUGCAAUAAAACUUGUUUCUUAUUCGCACACAUACAUACAAAUACUGGAUUGUUAUCUGGACUUAAAAUGGGACCACAAAUGCAAAUAGAAGACCUCGAAACAGUGAAAGGGAAGCAGGCCCUGCCGAGAGGGUGGCUCUGACGUCAUAAGCAGCAGUAGAAGUUACCACAGUGGCGGCGCCAGCUUCAGUAGCAGCCCUAGCCGCAGAUUCAGGUACGUGCACACGGUUACGGCAGCAGACACGACGUAAAAGGAUAUUUAUGUGAUGUAAACAUCGGGGAAUUUGAGUCUGCUAACGCGGCUGUUGCUAGCGCUGUUGACUUUGUCUGCGCCCAUGUUGGAAACCGUACGCGUUCAUCGUCGGCGUCGUUCACGUUUUAUGACGAUUGUGUCCGAGUGAGCGAUUGAAGAUGCCCCUGUGAUGGCUGAUGAUGCCCUUGUCACGGUCACUAGCACGUAAACUAGUCUUCAAAUUAAUUUUUCCGCUACACUGUCAUAAAUUAAUGCCAUUAAAAUGAGUGCAAAAAACGUUCAUACACAAGAUCUGUACUACCCUUUUCCUUGGUACCAACCAAAAUUCUCUGUCCGUAAACACUACGCCGUGCAAUUUCCGAGAGCUAACUUCACUUCUCUGAAGUAUCGUUCUUAAGGCCACGGUGGCGAUGCAGUUACUAGUCGAUGCAUCCGCCUUAAAAGAGCUUUGCUUCGUUGUACGCUAAAGCCAGCAAGGCGAACUACCGAUGAUGACUACUAAAGAAAUCGGUAGUGACCUUAUCAUUCCAAUUUUCUAAUAUCCAAAAACUUCGCUUUCUGACGAUGCCUACUGAUCUACCAGUAAUGUUUCGACCGGGGAUGCUUUGCCGCAGAAAAUUUGCCAAGCAAUAUUCGCCCUUCCUGCAUAUAGCCGGAAUAACGAUGCCAGCAUACGAGAAUUCACCAUGUACAUGGUCGUUAUGUUAUUUGUAGGAAGUUCAUAGGUUGAUUCGUCACCAUCGCGAUUCGAAAGCUAGUACAUUUACAAUGCGAAUGUGUGUGAAACAAAACGGCUAUUAAGCCCAACAAAAGCUUAGUAAGGCCAUGGGGGGUAUGGGGUUGAAGAUAAAGCCCUUGUUGUCAUGUGGGAUGCCUGGAAAGUGUCUCCUUAACGAAACUGAGACAUAACAGCAUAUAUAGUAAAAAUAAUAGUAUUCAUCAUUUGAACAGACAAUAAAUGUACAAUUUCAUGGUUAGGACUAACUAAAAAAAAGACGAGACAAACGAAUAAAGGUUCCAUACUUAUUAUGCAUGCUCAGCUCAAUGAGUCCAGAUUGCGCUGUUGGCUGUCCGCUAAGCAAAGCAAUUUUCAGACAAACUAUAAUGGAAAAGUAUAGACAGUAAUUUAUUGCCUAUGCUAAUUUUUGAAGCAAUUGGCAAUUCUACCACGUUUAGUUUUACCUAACUUCUAACGCCGACGAUAUAUGUCCUUGAAAUGCUUUCUACUGCCAGUAAGUUACUUGUCAAGAACAGAGGUAAAUAUUUGCCUCGACGCCGACUAGCUCUUUCAAUCAAUUUUAGGCUUCAGCGAUUCUGGUACGAACUAAUUACAUCAAUAUUAAUAGACUGCUUUCAGGUCAUGAAAAUGCAGGCAAAUUCCGCGUUGUCGAUUGGGAUCGGCUAAUCUCUGAUAUUCUGUUUAUUAGUGUGAUAUUCCAUAAGUUUUUUACGAAAAUGUUCUUCCUUAUUGAUUCGGUAUUUUCAGCUUUUACGGCAGUCCUCAAUAAUCUGUGAGAGGGCCAAAUGGUUUCUACUAUUCGAAUGAUCUUCAUCACUAUAUAGGUGCUUUCCGUGGCUAAUUUUGUCUUAGCGCACCCACAUGCACACACAAACAUAUAUAUGAUAUGUCCGUCAUAUGCUCAAUAUAUAUACGAAGGACGUAUCGGCCAUAUAGAGACACAUAAAGAACUGCAUGCCAUUGUUGGAAUUUUAAUGGAUCACAAGUCCAUCCUCAAGUAGAGGACGGCUAUAAAACGGCGUAAAUGGUACUGUUUAAAUAUACCGCUAAAUUAUUUGGUCACUGCUUUUGAAAUCGUCAACUCAAACCAUGCGACUGCAGUUCCUUUCUAAGCGGCGAGACAUUUUCGGCGACCUUUCAUCGCAUUAUAAUGUCGCUACGUCGUUGUAUUGGUCGUAAUCUGCCUUGUUAAGUCGGGAUUAAGUCGGGGUAAGACGUUGUUUUUGCGCCAGUUUUUUACCUGUCGAUUUUGCUAUAACCUUGAUAAUAGGUUAGAUUGGUGGUUAAAGCCUAGGCAAGCUGAUCGUAGCUAGUCUGUCCAGUGUUUCAUGCCACUCCUAUUUAUCGAACCGUAUCUUUGCUGCGGUAGGCAGUAAAAUGGACGCCAAUUAAUCCCUACCAAAUCCCUUGACCACUCUACCGUUGGUUUCCUUCUGUAGGUCAGUGGCGACCUUUCAGUGUGUUUCUCUUAGCCUAGCAUCUGCUGCUAGUGUCAGUGCCUUAAUUUACGACUGGCAUUUCCUAUGCUAGGCACCACAGUAAGAAUAACGUGUAUUUAUUACAACACAAACUCAUCGUGAACGCCGUUCGCGUUAGUGCCUAUUUACGAUUGUGACAUUGACAUGACACUCUCUAAUAGGCAUAGAUUGGCUUGUUUUCGUUGUUUGCAAAGACGGCGCGCUGUUACUCGGCGUCUUGCUAUAUUCAUGGCA